CCAGACUCCUACGGGAGGCAGCAGUGGGGAAUAUUGCACAAUGGGCGCAAGCCUGAUGCAGCGACGCCGCGUGAGGGAUGGAGGCCUUCGGGUUGUGAACCUCUUUCGCUCAUGGUCAAGCCGCAACAAUGGUUGUGGUGAGGGUAGUGGGUAAAGAAGCGCCGGCUAACUACGUGCCAGCAGCCGCGGUAAUACGUAGGGCGCGAGCGUUGUCCGGAAUUAUUGGGCGUAAAGGGCUUGUAGGCGGUUGGUCGCGUCUGCCGUGAAAUCCUCUGGCUUAACUGGGGGCGUGCGGUGGGUACGGGCUGACUUGAGUGCGGUAGGGGAGACUGGAACUCCUGGUGUAGCGGUGGAAUGCGCAGAUAUCAGGAAGAACACCGGUGGCGAAGGCGGGUCUCUGGGCCGUUACUGACGCUGAGGAGCGAAAGCGUGGGGAGCGAACAGGAUUAGAUACCCUGGUAGUCCACGCUGUAAACGUUGGGCACUAGGUGUGGGGGCCACCCGUGGUUUCUGCGCCGUAGCUAACGCUUUAAGUGCCCCGCCUGGGGAGUACGGCCGCAAGGCUAAAACUCAAAGGAAUUGACGGGGGCCCGCACAAG
rnacentral:rRNA from 1 species